GUUACUCUGAUCCUUAUUCCAUUCUAUGUACCUCUCAUUGAAACUGUCACUGAUCUCUCAGGUCUACCUCCUUCUCUCUAUUUUUGACCGCCUCUGUUUUGGUUUCGUAAAGUUUCUUGACUAGAUGACUUCAAUAAUUAUUUAGCUCCUGGGUCAAGUUUUUCAGUCCUUUCUUUAAUAAACAUUGAUUGUAUUGCAUAUCUAGCAGGUGCCAGGUGCUAAGUGUGGACAUGAGAAGACAACAUGGAAUAAAGUGGGUCCUGGGCCUGGAGGAUCCCACCAGUACUGAGAGACCCAAAAGAGUGAGCCAGAACAUUAUUACUGAGGAAGUAAAUAAUUGUAUUGGGUAUUGAAGGCCCUGUUAAGAAUCAUAGCUAUCAGAGAAGCCAGAAGGGCAGAAGAAGAGUAAUUCAGAACCCUGAAGAACACCAGGGUUUAUGCUCUAAACAUCAUACCAUGUUGCAUAUGCUUGUUGACUUAUACAGGUAAAAAAGUACAAUCUGAGACCCAUUCUGACUAUGUGCCAACAGUUGGGAAUUGCCACAUACUCUUUCAAGCUUUCAUCAUUGAGGGGGAAGAAAAGCACUAGAAGUCAAUGACAAGGAUCCAACUACAGAGGAGGGAUGUUUGACAGAGAAUUAUUAUGUACAAGAGAAAAUGUUCAGGAGGCAACCUAUACUUUCAACAUAAUUUGGCUGUCUUUGAGGAGAGUGAACUGAUACAGACUUCAGAUCAUCUAUAAAAAAAGGAUUCGUCAACUAUAUGGCAUUUUCAUAAUGCAAACAAGUUGUGAACUGAAGAGUCAGACAAGCCAACUUAGAAGAAAGAAGAAAGGAGAAAAAUAAAAACAAAAAUAUACAGUAGACUUGACAGGGCCCAUUCCCAACUUGGAGACUUUGCCUGACAGAAAAGUUUGCAACAGAAAAAAUAUUCACAAUAGAACCCAAAGUGCACAUGAGAAUGCUGAAAAUGAGGAUCCAAUAUGCGUUG